CACGUAGGGCGCAAGCGUUGUCCGGAAUUAUUGGGCGUAAAGAGCUCGUAGGCGGUCUGUUGCGUCCGCUGUGAAAACUCGGGGCUUAACCCCGAGCCUGCAGUGGAUACGGGCAGACUAGAGGUAGGUAGGGGAGAAUGGAAUUCCCGGUGUAGCGGUGAAAUGCGCAGAUAUCGGGAGGAACACCGGUGGCGAAGGCGGUUCUCUGGGCCUUACCUGACGCUGAGGAGCGAAAGCGUGGGAGCAAACAGG
rnacentral:rRNA from 1 species